GAACAAAUUAUUUUAUUUACAUACAACACUGUCAUUUCUGUUUUGCAGAAUCAAAUUUUGCCUCAAGAAUUGUUGUGAAUUCAAGUAGACUAAUAAACAAAUAUUUAGCAAUUUAUACAACAUAUAAAAACAUAUAUGACCAGUUUUAUUUAUUUGUAAUAUUGCCAAUACACAGAAACACCAUAUCUAGUGCUAUUGCAAUCAAUACGAUGCCUCGUUGGGGAAAAAAUACUACCGUGUUGGUGAUCUCAAGUAUCAACUGUUGGGUCUCGGGAGCAUUCAGAUCGGAGAACACUGGCUUGAAGGUUUGAGUAAGUCUGAACACUAAGUUAAGUGAUGCAGUAUUAGGAGCGGAGGAGACUGUUGCAGCUGGAGUAGAGACUGUUGUUGCUGGAGUCGUAGUUUGAUUAAAACUUGAAGUU